rnacentral:rRNA from 1 species
CCCGGUGAUUAGUUUAACGGCCGCAGUUAAGAGCUGUGCUAAGGUAGCGUAGUAAGUUGUCCUUUAAAUGGGGAAAGGAAUGAAUGGUUUGACGUGAGAAAAACUGUCUCUGAUGAAAUGAAAUAAAUUUUCUUUUCGGUGAAAAGCCCGAAAUUCAAUUAAAAGACGAGAAGACCCUUUCGAGCUUGAUUAAGCGUAUAAAUAUUUAUAGGUUAAAGUUUAGUUGGGGCAACUUAGGAGCAAAAAUAGACUCCUUGAAGAUUAUAGGGAUCCAAAACUUUUGAAAAAAGAAAAAGCUACCGUAGGGAUAACAGCGUUAUCUUCUCUGAGAGAACAAAUUGAAGAGAAG